GUCCCUGCCUUAAGCAGGGAACUAAUGUUUUCAUGUAACUCAAUUAGUUUGUCAAAUGAAAUCAAAAAUAUUUAAUUCUAAAGUUUUAAGUAUGAUUCUUUUGAUUUUUUUUAUUUUUCAAAUUAUUUUAAUUUUUUCCUAAAAACAUUAUUGGCUGAUAGAAUUUUCCUGGGGGCUUAAAUAAAUUUUCAAUAACAAAAAAUAUAGAAAUUAGUUGGCACUGUGCUUACCGCAAGUGCUCUGUACAAUUUCAUUAAUGAUUUUGUAACUUGAAACAGGCAUUUGUACAGGUUUUUUAAUGACUCCAGUUGGCAUUCGUGGCAGUUUUAAUCUGUGUGUCAUUCACUAAAAAAACUACACUGCGUUCAUUGCUUCUACAAUUUUGUUGCAUUCUCAUUUGGCAGGGUGAAAGAUUUAAGGAAGCAGACCAUUUUGUUUGCGAAAAGUUUCCUAAGAAGACUGCAUAAAUACAGGGUAUCCUUUGCACAACACAGUCUUACAAAUUUCACAUGCUUACUGCUCAAGAGUAUCUUUUGCAUGGGAAAAUAUUCUAGCUUCGACAUGCUUGCUGCCCAAGGUCAGUAAUGAAUUCUUAAAGUUGCUCCUUGUUCAGUUCUUCAAACAUAAACUGCUUUCCUCUUUGUCUAUAUUCGAUAUUUCUAAUUGGGCACCACAAUAGAUAAAAAUCUUCUUAGUCUAAGUAAGUAAUUGAGUAAAAUGGUUAUAGACACUAGUUCAAACAAACAAAAUACAUCAGAAAACCCAAUUAUAGUAGAAACAUACAAAUCACAUGACCAACCACUUAUGAUGUCAAUUGAUGAGGCUCUA